rnacentral:rRNA from 1 species
CUAUGCGCCUUGCCAGCCCGCUCAGGUGUGCCAGCCGCCGCGGUAAUACGUAGGUGGCAAGCGUUGUCCGGAAUUACUGGGUGUAAAGGGAGCGCAGGCGGGAAGCCAAGUCAGCUGUGAAAACUACGGGCUUAACUUGUAGACUGCAGUUGAAACUGGUUUUCUUGAGUGAAGUAGAGGUUGGCGGAAUUCCGAGUGUAGCGGUGAAAUGCGUAGAUAUUCGGAGGAACACCGGUGGCGAAGGCGGCCAACUGGGCUUUAACUGACGCUGAGCUCGAAAGUGUGGGAGCAAACAGG